GCCAGGCGCGAUAGCAUGUGCCUGUAGUCCCAGCUACUCAGGAGGCUGAGGUGGGAGGAUCACUUGAGCCCAAGAAUUCUGGGCUGUAGUGCGCUGUGCCAAUCGGGUGUUCGCACUAAGUUCGGCAUCAAUAUGGUGACCUCCCGGGAGCGGGGGACCACCAGCUUGCCUAAGGAGGGGUAAACCAGCCCAGGUUGGAAAUGGAGCAGGUCAAAACUCCCGUGCUGAUCAGUAGUGGGAUCAUGCCUGUGAAUAGCCACUGCACUCCAGCCUGGGCAACAUAGCGAGACCCUGUCUUUA
ensembl:misc_RNA Metazoa_SRP Metazoan signal recognition particle RNA